AUGGAUAUGUUUUAUAGACAAGAUGAAGAAGAUGAUUUCAAAGGGGUAGACGAAAGCUCCAGGGAUGAGAUACAAGAUGUUGGGGCUGAGAUCCAUCAUGCAUUAGGACAACACUUUUGUUUAUUGGUAUUCCAUAAUGGGAGUGACAACACAGUUGACUUCAGCGAUUUUGGCAUUCCCCAACCUGUCAUGAGUCAGUGGUACCUGUUUGGUACUAAAUUAUUGUGGACAUUCCGAGGAAGGCUUCGGCUCAACCAAGGAGUCAGUGAGAAGGUGGGUAAUUCACAUCUUUUUCUUUAUCGUGAGUUGAUUCCUCUAGGGUGGAAUUAUUUGUUGAAAAAAGAGGCUAGAGAAAUUGUUGGGUGCACGGAUAAGCUUGCUGAAGUAGCCGAAGAGUGUUGCUUGUAUAUGCUAGCACUAAAUUCUCAAGGAGGUGACAUCAUAGACUACAACUGGGCCACCCAUGCUUCUAGCUAUUGGGUUUGUGAUGGGAUUAUACAAGGAGGUCAGGGUGAUGAAGCAUGGGAGGUUGCAGCUGAUCUGCAUCAGCGGAUAUGUAUAGAGGAUUAUUCAUCUAAUGCACUGCCCUCUUUUGGUCAUGAACUACAAACUUCCCCGAAACGGUGGAUAUUCUCCAGGGGCAACUCUGUUGUGCAUCCAGAGUCAACGUCCUUUUUUCUUGCUAUAGCCGCAAGCAAAUCUGAUCCUCCAUUAAGACUGUUACCUAAUGACAUGUUCCAUAAACCAGACAAGCUCCGUGUGCUCAAGUUAUGCCUUUGCACCUUCAACUUUUCUUCACCUCCUUUCAGUUGUUGCCGCAACUUAAGGUUCCUUGGAUUAGAUGGCUGCAAAGAUGAGCGAGCGAAAGAAGAUGAGAAGCAAGAUAGACUAGCAAUUGAAUGUUUUCAGAGCAUAUGGGUACUAGACAUAUGCCACACGGAUUGGGAAUUUGCCUUGUCACCAGAGAUAACAGAGAAUAUGGCUGGAAACAUUAGAGAGGUACACAUAAAGAAGGGAAGGAUUUGGAUCCAUAGUUUUUCAUGGAGACAACUGCAAAACCUUCGCAAGCUUCGAGUAGUUGAGCCUACAUGCCCUUGGGAGACGGGCAAAAAGGAUGAAUUUACUAACAUGGUGAAGAUGGAGUUUCUCGACCUUUCUUGGAAUACUACAAUACAAGUUUUGCCAAGUCUGUCACGGGAAAGUAGUAUCAAGACUCUGGUUCUAGAUGGUUGUGUUGGAUUGGAGCAUGUUGAAGGACUCCCUCCAUCACUUGAAUCAUUCAGCUUAGAUGCAGGACUAACAGAGGAUGAUUACAAGAAAGCCAAAUUAAGCCGCAUCUCCAUGGCCGGCUGUGCAAGAUUGUCUGACUUCACAUUGCGUGGAUCACUUCCAAACCUUGAGGAACUAGACCUCUCAGACACAAAAGUCAAGACACUUGACCUCGAAAAUGAGGUGGUGCAGGUUCCAUGUCUCAAACAAAUUAUUCUAUUGAGAUGUAUGCAACUCCAUUCCAUUCUAUGGCCAGAAGUGGGUCUGCCAACACUGACAGUGCUGCAUAUUGAUUCCUCAGUCUAUCCUAUUCAAACAAAACUACAUGAAGUGUAUGUUAGUAUAGUGGACAUAAGAUUUUUUCAGUCCUUGGUAUUACGAAGCAAUCUCCAAUUCUGUUGGAAGAGCAAUAGGUUCCAUCUAAAUCUUUGUGUACCUUGUACCACAAAUGUUAAGGAACAAAGUUAUAUGAAGGAGAAGAUGGGCCCUGGUAAUAGUGGGAAAAUAAUGGGUCCCCCUCAACCGAAGUCAUUAAACCCCAAUACUUGCAGCACCUACAUUGAUGUCCCUAUUGGCAACAUAAUUAUUGAUCACAACUACAACAGUGGAAUGCAGUUUCAGCCAUCGGGCUGCCAUGUGGAGAUUGGUAAGGGAGUUAGCAACGCUAGCAUGGAGAGUGUGCAAGCAAUCAAGGCUAUCAUCUUUGCACUGAAUGAAGCCAAGUCGUUGCAUGUGCAUGACAAUUCUUCCAUCACCACUAUUAUCACUGAACACAUGAUGUCUAGAGCUGGGAUUGAUCUUGACUGGAAACAUCUAAAACAUUGUCAUGUGGUGAGAUGCCCCAAGAUGCGCAUAGUCUUCAAGACUAACUAUGGUGGGUACCCCUUUACAGAAAUAGAGACCUUUUGGGCAGCUGAUCUACCAAUGUCACACUGCAUUUGGAGCAAAGGAAAGACCUACAGUGGCACGGAAACUGGGUGCUUUGCCAAACUGCGGAGCAUACACCUAUACUCUUGCCCAAGACUCACAUUUGUGCUUCCAUUAUUGUGGGGUAUUCAAGGAUCAUACUUGCACAAAUUAGAAAGUCUCCACAUUGUCAACUGCAGUGAUCUGAAGACGGUGUUCCCUGUUCAUCCUGGCCUCAAAGGAAAUGUACUUGAGUUCCCAAGGCUGAAGCACAUCCAGCUAUAUGAGCUCUAUAAGUUGGAGCAUAUAUGUGAGGUCAAGAUGCAUGCUCCCAAGCUUGAGAGGGUAUGGCUCAGGGGCUGUUGGAGUCUCAGGCGCCUCCCAGCGGUUGGCGGAGAUAGCCGUCGCCCCGUCGUGGACUGUGAGCAGGACUGGUGGGAGAAGCUGGAGUGGGACGGGCUGGAGGCUGGCCACGAUCCAUGCCUCUUCGAGCGGCGCCACUCGUCACAUUACAAGAAGCCCUUGCCCAGAGUUUCUGUGCUUCAGUGA
rnacentral:rRNA from 1 species